rnacentral:lncRNA from 1 species
UUGAGUGGUUUGUUUUAGGUUCAUCUGAUGCCACACUCCCUUGUCGCACCAGACUUACAGCUCCAAAAGAAUCUAUUGCUGAUAAAAAUUGGGAUCAGGACAGUGGAUUGGAGAAUGUGGGAGAAACUCAUGAAGGACAAAAACUUUUGAAGGAAAGUCCACAGUCUGCUAUAACAGAAAAAAACAACGAGGACUCAAGAAAUACAAAUGAAGGAGAACUAGACAAAAAUGAGAAAAACAGGGAAAAUGCCGAUGAAGCAGAAGAAAACGGUAACAGCAAACCUGAUGAAACGGACAGAGAGAGACAUAAAUUAUUACAAAUUCAAGAAGAAAUGGAGAAAGAGAAAAGUCAGAUAGAGUCACCUGAGGAGCAGAUUGAGACACAAGAUGCAGAUAAAAAUGAGGAAGACCAGACACCUGGAGAGAAAAAAGAGGAGGAAGAGGAAGAAAAAGCGAUAGACAGACUGAACACAGAUUCACCAGCUAACCUGGAGAAGGCACCCAUAAACAUCAGUGUCCCAUCUUCAAAUCAGACUGGCCUAAGUAAGUGCACAGACCAAGAUAUAAACAUGGAAGAAGAAAGCACAUUUCCUGGAGUGGAGCAGAAGGAGAAAGAAAAGGUUUUAACAAAUGAGGAACUGAAAGGUGGUCAGGAACAAAUGCCAGAAGAAAACAAACAUGACCCAGAGCUAUCUGAGCCAAAAAAUAGCAUUAACUUGGAUAAACAGGGCAAACAAACUGAUCCAGACAGUACAAUACAGUACAACAGUGUCUCACAGCAGCAGUGCCACAAUGAUGGGUUGCCUCAAAAGGAAGAUGAUGAUGCUGAACAGACAGACAAGAGCCGUGAGACAGAACAAGGCAUGAAGCAGAAAAAUGAUGUUCCAGAAACUACAGAGACAAAAGAUAACAAACAUUUAAAAGAUUGUGAUGAAAAGAACAGUGAUCCAGACAACACAAACAAUGACAUGUCUGUGCCAGAGGACAAGAAAGCAGAAACAGAGACCGACAGCUUCUCAAAACAUGCAAUGAAAGAAACUCAUAGUUCAGAAAUCAGGGAACAGGAUUUGAACAAACAGUGCAAUACAGAAUGUAAUGAUACUGUUUAUAGUGAGGGAGGCGAAAUGGGCUCAGUUUUAUCAGCUGUGAAAGAGGAACAGAAAAACAUUUGUCAACUAGAGCCACGUGAAGGUAGUAGUGUCAGUUGUGCGACAGAAAACACUCGAGGGUCAUCAAAAAUAAUAGAAGAUGAAGGAAAUAAUGACGACACCCCACAGCAGGUUAAAAAGGAUGGUGAGCGUGUGCUUGGAGAAGGUGUGGAGGAGAAGUAAUAGGCAAAUACUAGCAUAAAAACUGGGGUUGUCAAUUUAUUAAUGUAGUACAAUUAAUUUUGUACAGUUUAUUUUAUAUAAUGAAUUGUACCAAGGUUUUUUUUUUUUUUGCAUGUGUGUAAACCAGUAGCGGGCCGUGCAUUUUACACCUAGGCCUUCAGUGGCGUCCUACAUGAGUUAAUCCAUCUCUUCAUACCAUCAUAAUGAUGCCACGGCUAUAGAAACCAUAAAUAUCACACAGUAAUGCAGUAUAACAGUACACUACAUAAUCUUAUGUAGCGAGAAUGAAUGCCAUUACUAAAGAAAGAAACCCAAUUAACAAUUGCGCAACACAUCAUCUGUAGCUGAAGCAUUAACCUAACAAAAUGACACAAAUACAGUCCAUCCCAUGUUCUUACAGACAUUUAUUCACCUUUAGCAUUGGUAUAAAACAAAUAAGGUGAUUACAUGUGUUUUAAAGUUGAUCUAACAAUUUAAUGUUCUCUUACUGCUUUAUUUUGUCUUCACGAGUCUCCCCGCCGGUCUGCCAGCGCACUGCGGGAGAAAAAUACUGGUUAGCACAGCUUUACUAGGAAAGUGAGCAAGUAACUAUUAGACAAACCAUUUGAUCAAACAGAUCAAAGUAGCAGUUACCACUGUGCUUUUUUUUCAGUUGUGCUGCACAACUGAGUGGAUGGCAGCUUACAGUUCUGUUGAAUUUGUUCCUCUUAGCCCAGCAAGCAAUUUUGCGUUUAAAAGACGUCUAUUAGCCGUCUAAACACAGCCCAGAUUCUAGGCUAAAACAAGGCUAAAUUUGGGCUGUCAGUGAAAAUUUAAUAGACGUCUAAUCAUAGCCCAAGAAUAGACUAGUCAUCAAUUAGACAGCUAAUACAUGCCUACAUAUAUACAUCUAAUAGACAACAAAAUGGCAAUCCAUCCAAACAAAUUAAAUAUACAGCUUUUAAGAAAAAUAACAUUUUUAACAACUUGGAACUUAAGACAAUACAAAAUGAUAAAAAUACAAAAGAAUUAAUGACUAAAUAAA